rnacentral:rRNA from 1 species
AAAAACAUCACCUCCAGCAUUCCCAGUAUUGGAGGCAUUGCCUGCCCAGUGACAACUGUUUAACGGCCGCGGUAUCCUGACCGUGCAAAGGUAGCAUAAUCAUUUGUUCUCUAAAUAAGGACUUGUAUGAAUGGCCGCACGAGGGUUUUACUGUCUCUUACUUCCAAUCAGUGAAAUUGACCUUCCCGUGAAGAGGCGGGAAUGCACAAAUAAGACGAGAAGACCCUAUGGAGCUUUAACUAACCAACCCAAAGAGAAUAAAUUUAACCAUUAAGGAGUAACAACAAUCUCCAUGAGUUGGUAGUUUCGGUUGGGGUGACCUCGGAGAAUAAAAAACCCUCCGAGCGAUUUUAAAGACUAGACCCACAAGUCAAAUCACUCUAUCGCUCAUUGAUCCAAAAACUUGAUCAACGGAACAAGUUACCCUAGGGAUAACAGCGCAAUCCUAUUCAAGAGUCCAUAUCGACAAUAGGGUUUACGACCUCGAUGUUGGAUCAGGACAUCCUGAUGGUGCAACCGCUAUCAAAGGUUCGUUUGUUCAACGAUUAAAGUCCUACGUGAUCUGA